GGAGGGGUGGCCGAGCGGCUUAAGGCACAGGUUUGCUAAACCUGCGUAGGGGUAACCCUACCGGAGGUUCAAAUCCUCUCCCCUCCG
rnacentral:tRNA from 1 species